AGCAGCCGCGGUAAUUCCAGCUCCAAUAGCGUAUAUUAAAGUUGUUGCAGUUAAAAAGCUCGUAGUUGAAUUUCGGGGUCAGUAGGUCGGUCGUGCCACUGGUAUGAACUGGUUUUACUGAUUCCUCCCUCUUGAAGAACUGUAAUGCCAUUAAUUUGGUGUUGCAGGGAAUCAGGACUGUUACUUUGAAAAAUUAGAGUGUUUAAAGCAGGCUUUAGCUUGAAUACAUUAGCAUGAAAUAAUGAAAUAGGACGUUUGAUCCUAUUUUGUUGGUUUCUAGGAUUGACGUAAUGAUUAAUAGGGAUAGUUGGGGGCAUUAGUAUUCAAUUGUCAGAGGUGAAAUUCUUGGAUUUAUUGAAGACUAACUACUGCGAAAGCAUUUGCCAAGGAUGUUUUCAUUAAUCAAGAACGAAAGUUAGGGGAUCGAAGACGAUCAGAUACCGUCGUAGU
rnacentral:rRNA from 1 species